AUGCAAUAGUGCGGAUAUUUCCUCAAUAAUUCUUUAUACCUCUCCUAAGCUUCAUAUAAAGAUUCCCCUUCUUGCACAAAUGAUGUAGUUUCUCUUCUUAGUUU